UACUACAUUGAUUUGCCAAUAAAUUCCCAGAGUGGGUAGGGUAGGCUGUGGUGGUUUUAUUUGAUAAAACAGAGUAAUUGCUGACUGUAUUGGCAAUACCUGUAUUUUCUCAUUUACCUCUAGCAUGUUUUCCACCUGUGAUGACAGAAGCUGUAAAUAGCCCUCUAAGGAGAGAAUGGAAUCUGCAUGGUUGCUGUUGCUCUGUGACAAAAAGAGAAACAUGGUGUAAGGCACAGUUAUUUCACCUAAAAGGAGGUAAAAAUCAAAGUCUGACAGGAAACAGCACCAUGCCACACUGCUGCUGACCCCACCAUCAAGUCUUCAUCCUGAUGGGAGAUGACAUGUUGCUAGAACGAGCAGAUCAGCUCCAUGGCCUGAGCAUGCCUACUCUGCCCACAACAGCAGACCUGGGCUCUCCUCUGAAGCUGUACCUCCCCCCACCAGUGUGGAAAAAUCAGUUCCAGCUGAUCCUCUCCUGGAGGUGGACAGCAGUCAUCCAAAGCUCCCUGACAUGCUUUCAGGUCAACAUCCUGAAGACACAAAUAAAACAGUUCUAUUACACAGCAUGCUCUCAAAAUUCAUCUUUAAAAGGCACUUUUUUCUCCUCCAGUGAUAGCAUUCCAAAUAAAAUAUGCACUGAACAGGU